rnacentral:rRNA from 1 species
UACGUAGGGUGCAAGCGUUGUCCGGAAUCAUUGGGCGUAAAGCGCGCGUAGGUGGCUUCGUAAGUCCGUUGUGAAAGUCAAAGGCUCAACCUUUGACUGCCGAUGGAUACUGCGAAGCUAGAGUACGGAAGAGGCGAGUGGAAUUCCUGGUGUAGCGGUGGAAUGCGCAGAUAUCAGGAGGAACACCAAUAGCGAAGGCAGCUCGCUGGGACGUUACUGACACUAAGGCGCGAAAGCGUGGGGAGCGAACAGG